rnacentral:tRNA from 1 species
GCACUGGUGAUUCAGUGGUAGAAUAUUUGCCUUCCGUAGGGGAGACCUGGGUUCAAUUCCUGGCCAGUGCA